ACUAUAGAAUUACAACUGUACACAGACAAAAAGAAGCGAUCAUGCUGAUAUCAUACACUAACUUUCCUUCUAAAUCUCCAUUGAAUCAUGCAAUGUACUUGAGAUGUUGCUCAUAAAAGUCAAUCAACUGCCCAUAAAAAAGAGAGAGUAAAUAUAAUGAUAAUGGUCAUAAACGAGUCCUGGCAAUAUUUACUAAAGUUUGAGGCUCUCUAAAUAGGCAAUGGAUUUAUCAAUACCAGAAGUGGAUUAUUAGCCUUGAG
rnacentral:misc_RNA from 1 species